GACGAACGCUGGCGGCAGGCCUCAAACAUGCAAGUCUAGGGGGUGUAGCAAUACAUCACCGGCGGACGGGUGCGUAACGCGUGGGAAUAUACCUAUCGAUUCGGAACAACUGAGGGAAACUUCAGCUAAUACCGAAUACGUCCUAACGGAGAAAGAUUUAUCGUCGAUAGAUUAGCCCGCGUUCGAUUAGCUAGUUGGUGGGGUAACGGCCCACCAAGGCGACGAUCGAUAGCUGUUCUGAGAGGAAGAUCAGCCACACUGGGACUGAGACACGGCCCAGACUCCUACGGGAGGCAGCAGUUGGGAAUCUUGGACAAUGGGGGGAAACCCUGAUCCAGCCAUGCCGCGUGAGUGAUGAAGGCCUUCGGGUUGUAAAACUACUUUCGUCGCACGACGAUAAUGACGGUAGUGCGAGAAGAAGCUCCGGCUAACUUCGUGCCAGCAGCCG
rnacentral:rRNA from 1 species